CAAUUUUGUGCAAUAAAGAUUUCAAUUUAAGUCUUAGUUCCAUGUCUCUUUGGAGCUAACAUUUUAAUAAUGAUGGGUUAUUCAGCCGCGCUUUAUGUAUGUAAAAAUAUUUUUUUGAAUAAAACUAUUUAUAAAUAUACAGAUAAAUUUAUUAUUGAAUCAUCUAAUUUCAACUUAGCCCAGCAUAAACAAAUAAAAUUUUCGACUAAUUCACGUAUGGAACUCUUAAAUAAACAUUUCUUUUAAAAAAAAACUUAGUUGCAUAAAACACUUAAAUGUUUCAUUCAGUCGUAAAUCAAAUUUAUGAUCUUGGCUAAGCAAAGAAGAUUCAUCAGCAAAUGGUGAGCUCAAUAUCUCGAAAACAAUUUCACCUCAAACUGAACCAAAGUCGUCUUCUGCGGAAAGAUCCAAGAUGCAGCCUCUGCAAAGUACGUGCUGAUAAAAAUGACACACCGAUCAUACUUAAGAGCUCAACCACAUUGCUCACAACUUCGAUCUGACCCAACCCGCCCGAACGUAUGUUAAGUUUAUUGCUAGAUCUCUUGUCAUGAGCUCAACCACAUUGCUCACGACUUCAAUCUGACCCAACCCGCCCGAACGUAUGUUAAGUUUAUUGCUGGAUCUCUUGUCAUUAUGUCUACUGUAGAUCGCAACUCCAUUCAACUGAUUGCACUCACCUGAUUCAACUUAUUAGUCUUCUGGACCUAUUAUUACGGGACAGAAAUUAAACCUAUUUUGGUCAAUAAUAAAUAGCCAACAAAAAACAAUUAUAUACUCUUACUGAACUCGAUUUACAGCGAAAUUAUGCUUACGCCAAUCCAAACACCCACAAAUACUAAAUAAA
rnacentral:lncRNA from 1 species